CAUCUAUUCUCUCCGUCCCAAAAUUCUUGUCUUAAUUUUGUCUAAAUACGGAUGUAUCAAGUCAUGUUUUAGUAUUAGAUACAUCCGUAUCUAGAUGAAUCUAAGACAAGAAUUUUGGGACGUAGGGAGUAAAAC
rfam:Triticum aestivum genome assembly, contig: Triticum_aestivum_CS42_TGACv1_scaffold_407318_5BL